UAGGGAAUCUUCCGCAAUGGGCGAAAGCCUGACGGAGCAACGCCGCGUGAGUGAUGAAGGUCUUCGGAUCGUAAAACUCUGUUAUUAGGGAAGAACAAAUGUGUAAGUAACUAUGCACGUCUUGACGGUACCUAAUCAGAAAGCCACGGCUAACUACGUGCCAGCAGACGCGGUAAUACGUAGGUGGCAAGCGUUAUCCGGAAUUAUUGGGCGUAAAGCGCGCGUAGGCGGUUUUUUAAGUCUGAUGUGAAAGCCCACGGCUCAACCGUGGAGGGACAUUGGAAACUGGAAAACUUGAGUGCAGAAGAGGAAAGUGGAAUUCCAUGUGUAGCAGUGAAAUGCGCAGAGAUAUGGAGGAACACCAGUGGCGAAGGCGACUUUCUGGUCUGUAACUGACGCUGAUGUGCGAAAGCGUGGGGAUCAAACAGG
rnacentral:rRNA from 1 species